UUCUCUCUGUUUUCGUCUCCGGGUCGGUCGGUCUCCCUCCUCUUCUUCGUCUCUCUCAUCGGAGUUGGAGUCGAGGCGUAGGUAGAGGAUCGCGACUUAAGGUUCUCUAGAGUGUGGAGAGAGAGAGAGGAGGGAGAGGGAGCAGGAAGAAGGAGCCGAGGGGCGGGAGAGGCAAAACCACCGGCCCACCACGUUCAACCAACGUCACCUCAACCGUGUCCCGCAACGGAAAAACCCGCGUUUUGUUCGUGUAUAUCCUCCUCCCGUCCUCCUCCUCCGAACACGAAGAGAGCGGAGCGGAAACGCCCCGGCGGCGAAAACUCGGAGGAGGAAGGGUAACCUCGCAUGUUUCGACCCGCCGUGGUAAAUUUCCUUCUCGUCGUCCUCCGCCUCCUCUAGCUCGGUUUGGGGUUUCUCUCCUUGUUCUCAUCACUCUCGCGUGGUGGUGGUAGUGAUCACGACGAUGUGACGUGAGGCAGGGUCGGUCGGUCUCCUCCUAGCGGAGCGCGGCGACAAGGAAGACGGGACGGGAAAGCGACGCCCCGAGGAAGGGAUGGCGCUCCUGGCUGCCUGCUAGGGUUCCAGCCUCUUUCACAUCGGACGUUCGAAGAGUUUAGACCUUCUUUCAACCCAUCGUUUUAGUUCGCAAGAAGGGAUCGAACCAGUUCACAAACACUCCGAGUUCGGCCUCGUAGUUUAAAACAGACCGUACGUCUACAGUUGUCUAGGAUUGGUGAUGCCGCAUAAAGGCGUAAGCAAGAAGCCGGUUGUACACCAAAGUAAAGUCUGCUCACGUUAAUGGUUGCCCGGCCCUCGGUACGGCCAGACGGACCUGUGAAGGUCACCCUAUUUACCAUUAGACCGUCACAACUUGUGAUGUGGAAGCUGCUAACAUAGGUGACGAAGUGGGUUGUACUAAGGACUAAGAUCGGUCUCGGAUUUCAUACCUCCAGGUUACCGACACCUCACCAGUAUGGGACUCAAUGUCUACGAAUUACUGCCGGAGGUAUUCAUACGUUCACUUGGCCCUUAGUACUUCAUAUAGUUCUAUCGUCGUUACAACGGUCUCUUCUGUCAUUCUCUACACCGGUACUCUACGGUCACCUACCGCCUUUUUGUUUUAUGUUCUGCUGCCUUCUGACUUCUUGUGUUACCACCUUCUUUCUAAUUUCUAUCUUUCCGACAUAGAGUCCUGUUUUACCACCUCAGCAGUAACACCCGAUUGUUAGCAAGACAAGGUCAUCUGUGGUCUCCAGGAAGACAAUGCUGUCGAAGACCCUUACGUCGGAGACUGUAGCUGGCACGUUACGAAUUACAUAACCUUCUUUUACGAGCUGAAGAGUUAGUUUAUCUUCGUUUAUAAAACUGUAGUGUCCGAGUCUUGUUGUAACUAGAAAAGGUAGCGUGUUCUUCAUUGUAGUUAUUAGAAGAUGCUUCGUACUCGGUUUAUGGACCUUAUUACUCGUUCUACGGAUCCAACGGAUAAAGUCACCUACUUUUCGAAACGUCAAUAGACGAGGGACCACAAUUAAACCGGGUUCAAGAAUCGUCGUCGAUGGACUUUCUCCUCGGUUCUCCUUUGACCACUCGGUAACGUUUCCACCGAGGAGUAAAAAGUCGUUAUCUACUUUCCAAACCUCUCGAGAAACGGGGCACAGACGCACCUCUUCGUUCUCUACGUUCUUUGUAGGUAGAAAAGGAUGGAUUAUAGACCUCUCGGUGUCACGCCACACACGGAAGUUUGUGCCGCAGUUUACACGAGAGAGACGUUCAGAUAUAUUAUAAUCAGUAACUUUUAUCCCUCCCAAAAGAGUUAACGUCAAAAGGAGUAGAACAACGUGUAUAACAAACCAAAAGAGGGGACCAGGUCGAAAACGAGGUCAGGUUCACUAGUAGAAUUGUUCAUCACAUCGUAUCUUUGAACUAUGUUUAUUAAUCGUCCUUUUACUUACGGGUAAACAGUGAACGUUCCAUUGGGAAGACACACAUUACGUUUCGAGAGUGAAGUAACAUUAGAGAGAGGUGACCUGCACGGCUCAUACUAGUUGUGUCGUGUUUAGA
rnacentral:rRNA from 1 species